rfam:Serratia symbiotica genome assembly, type strain CWBI-2.3T, contig: SYMBAF_Contig_8
UCGCUUAAAGAACAACAAAAAUACUUGUUAGCAAUAUUAUAACCCACCUCCUUAGCCAGCCUAAUCUCCCUUGGGCUGGCUUUUUC